rnacentral:rRNA from 1 species
GGGAAACAGGUCAAUAUUCCUGUACCGAUCAAUAGUGCGAUGUGGGGACGGAGAAGGUUAGCUCAGCCGGGUGUUGGAUGUCCCGGUUCAAGCCUGUAGUCGUGCCUGGUAGGCAAAUCCGCCGGGCUUAGAUGAGGGGUGAUAACGAGGAGGCUUGCCUCCGAAGUGAGUGAUACCCUGCUUCCAGGAAAAGCCACUAAGCUUCAGCUAUUGACGACCGUACCGCAAAC